rnacentral:rRNA from 1 species
UACGGAGGGUGCGAGCGUUAAUCGGAAUUACUGGGCGUAAAGGGCACGCAGGCGGGUUUUUAAGUGAGAUGUGAAAUCCCCGGGCUUAACCUGGGAAUAGCAUUUGAUACUGGGAGGCUAGAGUCCGGUAGGGGGGGGUAGAAUUCCACGUGUAGCGGUGAAAUGCGUAGAGAUCUGGAGGAAUACCGAUGGCGAAGGCAGCCCCCUGGGCAUAGACUGACGCUCAUGUGCGAAAGCGUGGGGAGCAAACAGG